rnacentral:rRNA from 1 species
CUACGAGGUGCUGCAGUGAGGAAUAUUGCACAAUGGGGGGAACCCUGAUGCAGCAACGCCGCGUGGAGGAUGACGCAUUUCGGUGUGUAAACUCCUUUUAUAUGUCAAGAAAAUGACGGUAGCAUAUGAAUAAGCACCGGCUAACUCCGUGCCAGCAGCCGCGGUAAUACGGAGGGUGCAAGCGUUACUCGGAAUCACUGGGCGUAAAGGACGCGUAGGCGGGUUGGAAAGUCAGGUGUGAAAUCCUACAGCUUAACUGUAGAACUGCACUUGAAACUUCUAAUCUAGAGUAUGGGAGGGGGAGAUGGAAUUAGUGGUGUAGGGGUAAAAUCCGUAGAUAUCACUAGGAAUACCUAAAGCGAAGGCGAUCUCCUGGAACAUUACUGACGCUAAGGCGUGAAAGCGUGGGGAGCAGACAGGAUUAGAUACCCGUGUAGUC